rnacentral:lncRNA from 1 species
AAUAGACUAAGAAUCGAAGGAGAAGUACGAGCUAGAAGUUCUUGGGGAUUUUCGAAGUUUUCUGGCAAUUAAGGUAUGAUUCCUUGAUUUUAGUUUGAUAUAGUUUUUGAUUAAGUAUAUAUAUCUCCAUUUCAUGUUCUGGUUCCAUCAGUUCAGGCCAAUUGUUAUCUAAUAGGUGGAAAAUUGAAAUAAUAUAAUUUUAGAAAAGAAAGCUUGAAUACAUCUUGCUUUGGGUUGUUUUUUUGAAAAUUGUUUAUGGUUACAUCUUAGUGGGAGAUGGAGAAGAUUAAUGGUAAUUUUAUAUGAUUAUUCAAAAAAUUUAUUUUAGAUAAUGUAUGGAGAUGUAGCAACCUGAUAAUGGCAGAAAAAUAAAUAUACAUACGGGUUAAGAAGAUGAUACCCGAGUUCUUUUGUUGGGUGGGUCAGAAAACGACCGUGUUCAAAAUAUCAAAUCAUAUUUUAUUAUAACAAAUAAAUUGUGGUGGUGAAUUCAACCUCACCAUCUGCGUUGCAGCCUUUUGUUUUUCUCGAUUUGUUAGUUUCAAUUUUAACCCCUGUAGUUUCAAUAAAUUAAGGAUUUCACUUUUCAACAAAAUUCAAAAAGUACGUGGCAUCCAAAAGGUAAAACCAAAAUUACGUAAAUAGUGGUAACAAGCAAGGGCGGACGUAGUAGGUGUCCGGUGUGGCACUGACAAUACCUACUUUUCUGUUCACAAUGAAAUUUUUUUCGAUUUUUUUAACUUAUUUUUUCUACAUCGACAACACCUAUUUCAACCUCGGCAACACCUACUAUGUAUUUCUGCGUCCACCCCUGAAAACAGGCACGCACACGUAAAAAAAACUUAUGUCGCAAAACUUAUAAUCAAGUUGUUGUAAAUGCUCGAAGAAUAAUCAUAGAGACGACUUGUGCUACUUUAAUUUGGGUUCUUUAGACUUACCGAAAUGCGUUAGUUUUUGGGAUCAUGAAGUACAAAAGAGAGUUGAUGUUUAAAGAAUAAUCAUAGAGACGACUUGUGCUACUUUAAUUUGGGUUCUUUAGACUUACCGGAAUGCGUUAGUUCUUGGGAUCGUAAAGUACAAAAGAGAGUUGAUGUUUGAUUCUAUUGUCUCGUUUUAUUUUAAUUGGUUUUGUAGUAGGAAUCGUAAAGUUAGGAAAACUAUAAUCGGAUGGCUUCGAAAUCCGCUCAUGAACUAAUUGUUCUCGUUUUGUUUUGACAAAUUGCUAGCUUUUUUUUUUUUUUUUUUUAAUUUGCAUUGCAGUUCCAAAAAGAAUAUAUAUUAUCGGAAAUAAACACAAAAUUUAGAAAAUGAAGGGUCGAAGGUAACAGUAUACAAAGUGCAAAAUCGAAGGGUAAAAAUGAUAUUGUAAAAAGUAGAGGGGUGUAAAAUGUCAUUUUAUAGAAUAAGGGUUAAUAGCAAUAAAACAUAGAAGAAAAGGUUUAAAAUGGAAAAAUAAAAAAGUAAAAAGUAGAGGGUGUAAAAUGUCAAUUUAUAUAAGAGUUAAUAGCAAUAAAACAUAAAAGAAAAAGAUUUAAAAUGGAAAAAUAGGAAAAGUGAAAGGGACGAAAACUAAAAGAAAUGGCCACCGAAAUUUGUCUUUAGAAUAGAUAUAAUAUGUUAGUUUUUAUUAUUAUUUUUUUUUUACUAAAGUCAUCCCUCUAAAAAGUCCACAUUCAGCCCUCAUGAUUUUUUUUCUUAAUUUAAACCAUAAAAAAAGUAUAUGGAAUCAUUAUAUUUACAUCUUGAUUGAUACUUCUUUUAAGUAAAUAUUUUGGUGAUCAAUGAAAUCAUUAUUUUGUUAAUUAUUUUGAAAUAUUACUUUUAUUAAUAUGUUGGGAAUAUUAAUGUAUCNACAUAAAUAAAAGUGCAUUUCAUGAUUCAUCAAAACACACAUACAAACAUCCAUAAAAUAAAUUUUUUUUUAGUUGAUAACUAUGUAAUACUAAUUUAAAAUCCAAAACAUAAUUUUCAAGAAAGUAUUUGCGUUCUUAAAAUAGAAUGCUAUUUGGUUAGAUAAUAAAAUGACAAAAUAUUUUUUAAGAGAGCACACAAUACACACAGAAGCAAAAAUAGAACACACAUACUUUCAUUUUAUGUGCAAUUUUGUUUAUUAUAGCAUCAUUUUUUUUCUGUAAAUUUACAAAAAAAAGGUUCUUAACACACGAAUUGACAGAAAGUGUCCCUGUAAAUUAAAAUAAAUAUCAGAAAAAGUUCCCUAAGUUAUAACUUUUUCAUACACAGAUUAUGUUUUCAAAAGUACAAUGUUAUAGUUGGUAUAUUAUUGUACUACAAUAAAUAUAAUAUUUCAAAAGUUUAAUGCUAUAGUUGGUAUAUUUUUUAAGCAAGUUGCUGCAACAGAAACAAAUUAAAGCCAUAUUGGUAUAGUUAUUCAAAAGUACAAUGCUAUACUUGGUUUAUUAUUACAGUUUUACCCUUUGAAAGUAUAAUAGCUCAUGUAUGAAAAUUUAGGUCAGGAAACCAAUAAAGUGAUUAGAUAACAAUUGUUAUUGGCCGAACGAGACACGCGUGUGAUGGAACCGAAACGGAUGUUGAGGAUAUUAUCUAGGGAUGUUGCCUUAGGAAAAUUUAUUGUUGGAAUGUAGGUUGCGUGUAGCAUGACAAGGGUUAAAACCUAACGCCAAUAAGGUGAGUUUCAUAUGAAUUUUGUGGUUGCUUGCAUAAAAAAUUGAUUCUACAUUAUUUGCAAUUAUAUGUUACGGUUGUUAUUGCUAUGAAUAUUUGUGUGAAAUUUUGUGAACUAUUUCGUAUAAAAUGGUGAAAAUGGUAAGUGACAUAUAUAUAGGGAACAAAUGUAUUUACACGGUUUUAUUAUUAGUCGUCGUACAGGGUGUUAGUACGCGGCGGAGAGUUUACGCUCUGUUUAUCUAGCCGUAAGCAUGCAUAUUUGUUGUGCCCGGCGGAGGGACUUGUUCCCUGGAAAUAACAGUAGUUCCCCAAUGUGUCAUCAAGGGUGGAAAGAAAUGAAAAGAAUUAUAUUGAUAAUUUGUUGCACUAUUUUUAUUUUAUUGAUGUUAAUAUGCAUGGAAACCACGAACUCACUAGGCCCUAGGCUUACCCAUUAGAAUCUUUAAAUGCACGCAACCCAGGAAAUAACGUAGCAAAUGGCAGCGAGAAUGGAAAGGAUAAAGUUCAGACUUGAAGAAGGCGACAAGUUUUGAGGAAGACGUAGCGCACCAAGUGUUUACUUAAAUUUCUAUUUGCUUUCGCUAUUAUUAUUAAUAAUGACAUUAGUAUUUGAAUUUUAGAAUUUUAGAAGUUUUUAAACUAUGUUAAGUUAACAUUGGUAUUUGAAAUUUGGGGCGUUACAAAAAUAAAUAAACAAC